rnacentral:rRNA from 1 species
UACGUAGGCAGCAAGCGUUGUUCGGAAUUACUGGGCGUAAAGAGUGUGUAGGCGGUGCUCUAAGUCUGUUGUGAAAUCUCCCGGCUUAACCGGGAGGGUGCGGCGGAAACUGGAGUGCUUGAGGGUGGGAGAGGUAAGCGGAAUUCCUGGUGUAGCGGUGAAAUGCGUAGAUAUCAGGAAGAACACCCGUGGCUAAGGCGGCUCUCUAGUACGGUACUGACGCUGAGACGCGAAAGCGUGGGGAGCGAACAGG